UCCGUUGGUGAACCAGCGGAGGGAUCAUUACCGAGUUUUCAACUCCCAAACCCUUAUGUGAACCUACCUAUCGUUGCUUCGGCGGAACCGCCCCAGCCGGACGCGGACUGGACCAGCGGCCGCCGGGGACCAUCAAACUCUUGUAUUAUCAGCAUCUUCUGAAUACGCCGCAAGGCAAAACAAAUAAAUUAAAACUUUCAACAACGGAUCUCUUGGCUCUGGCAUCGAUGAAGAACGCAGCGAAAUGCGAUAAGUAAUGUGAAUUGCAGAAUCCAGUGAAUCAUCGAAUCUUUGAACGCACAUUGCGCCCGCAGCAUUCUGGCGGGCAUGCCUGUUCGAGCGUCAUUUCAACCCUCGACCUCCCUUGGGGAAGCGGCGUUGGGGACCGGCAGCACACCGCCGGCCCUAAAUGGAGUGGCGGCCCGUCCGCGGCGACCUACUGCGUAGUAAAUCAGCUCGCACGUAACCCCGACGUGGCCUCACCGUAAAACACCCAACUUCUGAACGUUGACCUCGAAUCAGGUAGGACUACCCGCUGAACUUAAGCAUAUCAAUAAGCGGAGGAC
rnacentral:rRNA from 1 species